AAAAAACAGAUCCUUGACUCAGUACAUUUCAGAUCUCACCAUCUCUACAUAACAAGUAUAUUUAUGUAUAAACAUCCUAAUAUGGUGUAACUCUAUUGGUAUGUGUCAAAAGAAAUAUUUAAAAAACACUUACCUUAGAUUGUGUUAGGUGGUGAUGUUUUACACAAUAAAAGUAAACAGGCUGAGUGAGAAAACUAGCUGCUCUCUAGAACACCUGUGGUGUUUUCGAUUCCCUCACCUAUGGUGAAAUCUCAGGAUAAUUUUUCACCAAUCAAGAGUAAAGGGAGUUUUCCCUCUAGAUACAGUCCUAAAUACUGUUUUGUCCUAUAUACUGCUAAACACAAUUGGUUUCAAGUUGACUCAAAUGGUUAACUGUGAGGGACCUACACGAAUAAAUUAAAUACAAUUAAAGCAAAUUAAAAAUUGUUCGAUUACUCAAUUGGCCUGUGUUACAAAACUUCUUCCAAAGAUGCU
rnacentral:lncRNA from 1 species